rnacentral:tRNA from 1 species
CAAAGAGUGCCUGAUAAUAGGAUUACUUUGAUAGAGUAUAUAAUGUAAACCUUUGUGUUUACCUCUUUGA